AAUAAGUGCAGCCAUAAGUUUCCGCAUCCAACUUCAAUCGUCCGUUUUAUUUGAAAUUUUUUUAUAAUUAGCAAUUUUGUUGUUAUACGAUGAUAAAACAUGAAUAGUACUUUACUCGUGACCUAUAUUUUUAAUUUUUUAAAAUUUUUUUUAAAUAAGACGAAUGGUUAAAGUUGGACGCUGAAAACCAUGGCUACACUUAUU
rfam:Oryza sativa (indica cultivar-group) chromosome 7, whole genome shotgun sequence.